rnacentral:rRNA from 1 species
UGAGGAAUAUUGGUCAAUGGACGAGAGUCUGAACCAGCCAAGUAGCGUGAAGGAUGACUGCCCUAUGGGUUGUAAACUUCUUUUAUAUGGGAAUAAAACAGGGUAUGCAUACCCUCUUGUAUGUACCAUAUGAAUAAGGAUCGGCUAACUCCGUGCCAGCAGCCGCGGUAAUACGGAGGAUCCGAGCGUUAUCCGGAUUUAUUGGGUUUAAAGGGAGCGUAGGUGGAUUGUUAAGUCAGUUGUGAAAGUUUGCGGCUCAACCGUAAAAUUGCAGUUGAAACUGGCAGUCUUGAGUACAGUAGAGGUGGGCGGAAUUCGUGGUGUAGCGGUGAAAUGCUUAGAUAUCACGAAGAACUCCGAUUGCGAAGGCAGCUCACUGGACUGCAACUGACACUGAUGCUCGAAAGUGUGGGUAUCAAACA